UGCCAGCAGCCGCGGUAAUACGGAAGGUGCGCGCGUUAAUCGGAAUUACUGGGCGUAAAGCGUGCGCAGGCGGUUUUAUAAGUCAGAUGUGAAAUCCCCGAGCUCAACUUGGGAACUGCGUUUGAAACUGUAAGACUAGAGUGUGUCAGAGGGGGGUAGAAUUCCAUGUGUAGCAGUGAAAUGCGUAGAUAUAUGGAGGAAUACCAAUGGCGAAGGCAGCCCCCUGGGAUAACACUGACGCUAAGGUGCGCAAGCGUGGGGAGCAAACAGGAUUAGAUA
rnacentral:rRNA from 1 species